UUAGGGGGCUGUAUUUCCUAAAGCUAAGAAACUUCUGCUAUUCACAAGGCUUCCUUUUUGAGUAUAGUUAUAUUUUUCCAUAGACAUGUGUUUGCAUAGUAAUUGGGUCUGUUUUUUUUUUUUUACUCAGUUACAUAGAUUAACAUAAUGUAGCAACAUAGAAGCUUACAAAAUACAGUUAGUUUAUGAUAUUUAUUUUCCAGUGUACAUGAAGUCAGCUUAUGUUGUCUGAUUAAAGUCAUGCCAUAGUCAUUGUUCUGAUGUUCUGUGUGUUAUCACAGAAAACGAGCCACCAGUGUUUCACACUUAUCAGUCCAGUCUGAAGACAUUCUAUGGAAAGAAUUUAGUCUAUCAGUUCUCAGCCAAUGAUCCAGAGGGCUCUGCAGUUCUAUUCACACUCAAGCCGGACCCAGAGACGUCGUUCUGUCUCCAGCUGGGCUGCUCAUCUGGAAAGCUCUGUCCUCCACACCGGUGACCUUUGAACUGGCUGUAAUUGAUGACUGUAAUGCAGAGACACAUGCAGCAGUGAAGGUGAGAUCUAGAAGCCACACGGUAAGAUGUUGCUUCUACAAAAAUGUGCACAUAAAGUCUUUAAAGUUCAUAUCGACUGAUGGAAAUACAGUUUUGUGUCUGCAAUGUUGUCCACAAGGUGGCGCCAAAUGGCUUCCAAAAAGGUUUUUGAAUCCUUAGCUCAGUAUAACAGUUUUAUAAUGUAUAUAUUGCCAAUAAAUAAUUGGAAUAAUUCUAUAUUUAUAGUUUUGUCAAAAUAUACUGUCAGAAUAGAAUCUUUUCUCAAGUUUUCCCAAGUGACCCCCGUUUUAUAAAUGCUGGAAAGUUACGAUAACCUUAUAUUAUACAAAGACUAGUAGUUUAGAGAUCAGCUGAAUGAAGAAAAAUUUAAUGCUGAGCACCCUUUAAUGCUGAAGCUGUGUGCCGUUACCCUUGUGGUCAGAAUAUGGAGUGCUCCCAGCCCAACACUUGUACCUGUAAAGAGGGUCACACUGGAUACAACUGCCACAUCGUUGUGUGCCGACCAGACUGCAAGAACAAAGGGAAGUGUGUGAAGCCCAAUGUGUGUGAAUGUCCUGCAAGGAAAAUGGCCCCACCUGUGAGGAAGCCGACUGUAAGCCCUUGUGCUUAA
ensembl:lncRNA